ensembl:lncRNA
CAGUCUCCUGAUUAUUGAAUACAGCUGUUUGUGCUAUCUCACUAGUGUUUUUGAAACAGUCAAUGUUUUUCUGAGGACCACUAGUUUGGAUUGGGGUUGUUAGUUUUAUGUGUAGCAAAGCUAAAUGUUAUCAUAUUCAAUUUUAAAUAAGUUGCUUCAUUCUGUGUGUAAAACAAAAUAAUUUCAAUAUACUUGAUUUCAUAGUUAACUAAUGUAGAGUUGAUCAAAAAAUAUCUUCCCUAGUAUGAUGCACAGAGAUUAGAUUAGACUGUUACAGAAUAAUGUGAUAAUAAUGAUUUCCUUAAGAGAGUACAAAAGCAGCAUCUAAGUUUUAACUGACAUCUAUUGACACACAGCAUCAGUUGGGAGCCCAAUCAAACCUCCUAUUCUUUUCUGUUUACCACCUCCUGCUUUUAUUUACAGUCAGCAUAUCUGUUAAUUAGCUUCAGGUAGAAUCAGUUCUUCUAAGAAGAUCUCUUGUCUUCCUGGUGAUGGCCCCAUGAGGUGACCCAUGUACACACAGUCUAUAACAGAAAUACGUUGUUUUGACAUUAACUGUUAUAAGAGAAACCACUUUGUUUUCUUUAAUCUGGUCAUCUGUGCAACUGAGGGGAUCUGAGAGACAGUAGAGAUCAUGAAGAAAUGAACAAGAAACAAGUUGAGUGAUGAAGUGUGAAGAAAAGUAAGGAAUCCAAGUGUUUAAAAAUUCAGUCCUAAGCUCUGAUCAUUAAUUUGUGUUUCUGAGUUUUCCUAAAAAUGAAAUCCAUAUCUAUCUUAAGCACUUUAAUUUCAUGUGAGGCCAUUAAAAUAAGAUUCCUAAAUUAGGUAUUGUAUAGCUGGUUGAAAAUGACAUUGUUCUGGUGUUCAAG